CCUACGGGUGGCAGCAGUCGAGAAUCAUUCACAAUGGGGAAAACCCUGAUGGUGCGACGCCGCGUGGGGGAAUGAAGGUCUUCGGAUUGUAAACCCCUGUCAUGUGGGAGCAAAUUAAAAAGAUAGUACCACACGAGGAAGAGACGGCUAACUCUGGGCCAGCAGCCGGGGUAAUACAGAGGUCUCAGGCGUUGCUCGGAAGCACUGGGCGUAAAGCGUGCGUAGGCUGUUUCGUAAGGCGUGUGUGAAAGGCGCGGGCUCAACCCGCGGCAGGCGCAUGAUACUGCGAGACUAGAGUAAUGGAGGGGGAACCGGAAUUCGCGGUGUAGCAGUGAAAUGCGUAGAUAUCGAGAGGAACACUCGUGGCGAAGGCGGGUUCCUGGACAUUAACUGACGCUGAGGCACGAAGGCCAGGGGAGCGAAAGGGAUUAGAUACCCUUGUAGUC
rnacentral:rRNA from 1 species